GAUGAACGCUGGCGGCGUGCCUAAUACAUGCAAGUCGAGCGAAUGGAUUAAGAGCUUGCUCUUAUGAAGUUAGCGGCGGACGGGUGAGUAACACGUGGGUAACCUGCCCAUAAGACUGGGAUAACUCCGGGAAACCGGGGCUAAUACCGGAUAACAUUUUGAACCGCAUGGUUCGAAAUUGAAAGGCGGCUUCGGCUGUCACUUAUGGAUAGACCCGCGUCGCAUUAGCUAGUUGGUGAGGUAACGGCUCACCAAGGCAACGAUGCGUAGCCGACCUGAGAGGGUGAUCAGCCACACUGGGACUGAGACACGGCCCAGACUCCUACGGGAGGCAGCAGUAGGGAAUCUUCCGAAAUGGACGAAAGUCUGACGGAGCAACGCCGCGUGAGUGAUGAAGGCUUUCGGGUCGUAAAACUCUGUUGUUAGGGAAGAACAAGUGCUAGUUGAAUAAGCUGGCACCUUGACGGUACCUAACCAGAAAGCCACGGCUAACUACGUGCCAGCCGCCGCAGUAA
rnacentral:rRNA from 1 species